CCCUUAGAUGUUCCGGGCCGCACGCGCGCUACACUGACGGAUUCAACGAGCUUACAACCUUGGCCGAAAGGUCUGGGUAAUCUCCAAAAUCCGUCGUGAUGGGGAUAGAUUAUUGCAAUUAUUAAUCUUCAACGAGGAAUGCCUAGUAAGCGCAAGUCAUCAGCUUGCGUUGAUUACGUCCCUGCCCUUUGUACACACCGCCCGUCGCUCCUACCGAUUGAAUGGUCCGGUGAAGCGUUUGGACUAUGGUUUUCUGAUGGUCCGCCGUUGGAUUACCGUGGGAAGUUCGUUAAACCUUAUCAUUUAGAGGAAGGAGAAGUCGUAACA
rnacentral:rRNA from 1 species